GAAAUAUGUUAGAGAACCAAAUAGAUCCUGCAGUAAGAGAAGAUCAGAUUGCUGAUAUAAUCUGUUAUCAAGCAGUUGAGCAUCCGCAAUCAAAACAAUAGAUGGAAUGGGGACAGGAGGAGUGAUACAUGAGCUGAAAUGAACAGAGAGUGCAGACAGAGGUGGCUUGAGAAACAGCAGCACGUAAUGUGGUUUGGCAGGACAGUCCCAGAGGAACUCAUCUGCUUGGCUCAGCUUAGAGGAGGUUUUAGCAAGGUACACACUAACCAUCGAUGCUUCUCUACUCUGAAGUGAAACCUCUGUAAAUGAAGAUGUUAGAAGCAAGAAAACGUGUUUCUGAUAUCUCUUGGCAUGAGCGACAUAUGGGUUCAAGCUGAAAUGAUGGAGCAUCCAUUCACUUAGCAAAACAAAAAUAUGCCUUGGCACUCUGCUCUUCUCUGCUACUAUUCCAGCCAAAUUUCAAUUGAAAGAGCGGUGGGUUAUUUUGUCAUUGACUAUGGCAACAGUAUUUCAUCUGGAUGAGAUUCUUCAUGAAGUGUGGCACACAGAGUACCAGCAACAAUUAGAAAGAUGAUAUUCCUCUUGCAGUGCUCUCUACUGCCAAAGUUUUUAAUGUUGCAGGUCAAGACACCAAUAAGUAGAAAAGGUUGGUGGAAAUAUCUGAAAACGUUCAAAAACAAACAAAAAACCCUACCACCUACCUAUAUUGAAUGAGUUCUUUAUGUCCUUUCUAUGUUUUUCUUCUUUCAAGUUUUCUGGUUGUUAUUUUUCUUUUUAAAAAAUCAAAAAUCUGUGUUUUUUUUUUUUUGUUUUGUUUUGUUUUUUGUUUUUAAAUCAUCUUUCCAAAAUUUCUGCUGUACAUGUUUAUCUGGUUGAGCUUGUGUAGCAUCCAUUCUAUUCUAGUUCUUAAAUGUAGAGAUAACAAUUUGUCUGCCUCAUGAAACCAAUAAGUAACUAGGGAAAAGAAAAAAAAAAUCAAAGAUAUUAUUUCCUUAAAGACUUUUGCCCAAGUGGUCCUCAUAAAAAUAGGUAAAGUCUCUGAAAGACUAAUACAUGUUCCAUUUUUUGUCGUAUCUGAUAAGGCACUAAGUGUUUGCUAAAAGUUCCCCUCUUCAGAGUGCAAAUCUCAUUGGAAAAAUGCUUUUCCAUCUUAUGUACACCAAGACAAAAACUCCGUAAGAAUCAGAAGUCAUGAGAACAGAGCUGAGCCUGGGUCAGGGCAUGGUUCGUCUUUACAAGUGUGAAGGCUUACAGUAGACACCUGCAGCUCAGUUGUCAUUUUGGGCUCCUUAUUUUAGUCUUUGGAGAAAGACAGGCACUUCUAGGGUCUGGCUUCCUUAAUUUAGAUGAAGUCAGAAAUUCAAGAUAGGUGAGGUGAGUCAUGUCCCAGAAGUGCCUGUCUUUGCUGACAGUAAAGCAAGUGAAGAAAAUAUUAGACCAGUUGUAGCUUUCUAUUGUAUAACUGAGAUGAAUUCCAACCUUUGGAGAAAAGAGAUUUUCCACUAUUGAGGGAUGUUUUCAUUUAAAAAUAUUAACUGCAUCAUGCAAAUGAAGUAUAGAUUGUGCAUGUUUUAUAUCCAAGCUAAGAAAGAUGGAGUUAAAAAUUGCAUUGAAUGCAGGCAGCUGCCUAAUAACUCCAACUAACAUGUCACGUUUGGAACGUAGAAACAUGACAGGUGAACACAUGCAAGCCGUUGUACUCAGUGCCAUUAACUCCUAGAGGAUAAAUGAAAUUUAAUAUUGAAUGUACCAAUAAGAAAAAAAUCCUGCAGAUAUUUUUAUAUCUACCAUCUCGAUUAUUGUUAGUGCUGACUCCCAAAGCUGCUCUGCAUAUUUUUUCCCCUACCUGUCUCCUGUAAAAAGAGAGGCUUCACUGGAAAUUUUAAGAAACAUCUGAGAGAUCGUGAUUCUGUGUCAGUGUAUUUGUUGUAUCAGUUGGUGGUGCUUGUUGUUGAGAAACUGUUUGUACUCAAGCUUGGAGUUGGACUUUUUUUUUAGUAAUCUGUUUAUUUAUUUUUUUUUUUCCCAAGGAAUAGAACAGUUUGUGUAGAAAAAGAAAAGGUUAGUCAGUAUGAUUUUAUAAUCCUCCAGUUAUUUAACAAACCAAUUAGAAUGAUGACUUGGCAAAACCAACUUUAAAGUGAAUUAAGACUAUGCCCCAGAUAUAGCCCAUGCUUAUACAAUUAUUUUUUUAAAGAGCUUACAUCAGCUUUAAACUAAUCUAUGAUUCGAGAAUUAAAACGUAAGAAGUAAUAAAAAUUUUUGAAACAGAAAAGAUCAGGAAAGAACAAUAGUCCUAGAUGAAUUUUUUUCCUUUCUUCAGCUUCAAAUUUAUGAUAGAAUUAGGCUUAAUUUAGUUUAGCAGACAGCAUUUCCUCAUUGUAAUUUAGAAAGAAAAGAACAUGCUGAAAAAGAAGCAAGCAUUCUCUAUUUGCCAUCUAAGUUUAUCUGGAAAUAAUGACUAUAUACUUUGAAAGGUUUAUGUUCUGUUCUAUGUUGUGUCUACAGUGGGAAUUUAGAGCAUGCUAGGUGAAAAAAUUAUGCUGACCAGGCCCUUAACUUCUCAGUCUUGUCCUUUUUAUUUUCCAGUGACCGAACAUGUCUACAAGGAAGCUUAUUUUAUGCCAAAAGUAAAGUUGCCUCACACUUGAUGCAGCUUGGGUUAAUGUGUUUUGUAGAAAAGCAAACACUUUUACAAUUUUAACAUUUCAAAUUAGCUUUGAAAAUGUGCUUGCAAACUAGGAAAGUAAAAUUGUAAAGCCGAGCAGUUGGUUACAAAAAUUCUUCCAAAUGUUCCUUUGCUGUUUGUCACUAGUCCCCACUAAAUUGUGAAAAAUUAGAAGGUGCUGAUUAUUAAAGGCACAAGACAUUUUAUUUCAA